rnacentral:rRNA from 1 species
UGCAACCCGACUACAUGAAGCUGGAAUCGCUAGUAAUCGCGGAUCAGAAUGCCGCGGUGAAUACGUUCCCGGGUCUUGUACACACCGCCCGUCACACCAUGGGAGUCGGAAAUGCCCGAAGUCUGUGACCCAGCCUACGGGAGGGAGCAGCCGAAGGCAGGUCGGAUGACUGGGGUGAAGUCGUAACAAGGUAAC